rnacentral:rRNA from 1 species
AGUGAACGCUGGCGGUAGGCCUAACACAUGCAAGUCGAACGGCAGCACAGUAAGAGCUUGCUCUUACGGGUGGCGAGUGGCGGACGGGUGAGGAAUACAUCGGAAUCUACUUUUUCGUGGGGGAUAACGUAGGGAAACUUACGCUAAUACCGCAUACGACCUACGGGUGAAAGCAGGGGAUCUUCGGACCUUGCGCGAUUGAAUGAGCCGAUGUCGGAUUAGCUAGUUGGCGGGGUAAAGGCCCACCAAGGCGACGAUCCGUAGCUGGUCUGAGAGGAUGAUCAGCCACACUGGAACUGAGACACGGUCCAGACUCCUACGGGAGGCAGCAGUGGGGAAUAUUGGACAAUGGGCGCAAGCCUGAUCCAGCCAUACCGCGUGGGUGAAGAAGGCCUGCGGGUUGUAAAGCCCUUUUGUUGGGAAAGAAAAGCAGCAGGUUAAUACCCCGCUGUUCUGACGGUACCCAAAGAAUAAGCACUGGCUAACUUCGU